rnacentral:rRNA from 1 species
GCACACGUGGGCAACCUGCCCCCGGCUCUGGGAUAACUCCAAGAAAUUGGGGCUAAUACCGGAUAUGACCGCUGGCCGCAUGGUCUGGUGGUGGAAAGUUUUUCGGCUGGGGAUGGGCCCGCGGCCUAUCAGCUUGUUGGUGGGGUAGUGGCCUACCAAGGCGACGACGGGUAGCCGGCCUGAGAGGGUGACCGGCCACACUGGGACUGAGACACGGCCCAGACUCCUACGGGAGGCAGCAGUGGGGAAUAUUGCGCAAUGGGCGGAAGCCUGACGCAGCGACGCCGCGUGGGGGAUGACGGCCUUCGGGUUGUAAACCUCUUUCAGCUCCGACGAAGCGAAAGUGACGGUAGGAGCAGAAGAAGCACCGGCCAACUACGUGCCAACAGCCGCGGUAAUACGUAGGGUGCAAGCGUUGCCGGAAUUAUUGGGCGUAAAGAGCUCGUAGGGCGGUUCGUCGCGUCGGCUGUGAAAUCCCGGACUCAACUUC